GAUGAACGCUGGCGGCGUGCCUAAUACAUGCAAGUCGAGCGAACGGACGAGAAGCUUGCUUCUCUGAUGUUAGCGGCGGACGGGUGAGUAACACGUGGAUAACCUACCUAUAAGACUGGGAUAACUUCGGGAAACCGUAGCUAAUACCGGAUAAUAUUUUGAACCGCAUGGUUCAAAAGUGAAAGACGGUCUUGCUGUCACUUAUAGAUGGAUCCGCGCUGCAUUAGCUAGUUGGUAAGGUAACGGCUUACCAAGGCAACGAUGCAUAGCCGACCUGAGAGGGUGAUCGGCCACCCUGGAACGAAGACACGGUCCAGACUCCUACGGGAGGCAGCAGUAGGGAAUCUUACGCAAUGGGCGAAAGCCUGACGGAGCAACGCCGCGUGAGUGAUGAAGGUCUUCGGAUCGUAAAACUCUGUUAUUAGGGAAGAACAUAUGUGUAAGUAACUGUGCACAUCUUGACGGUACCUAAUCAGAAAGCCACGGCUAACUACGUG
rnacentral:rRNA from 1 species